rnacentral:rRNA from 1 species
UCACCGGAGCUUGCUCCACCGAAAGAAAAAGAGUGGCGAACGGGUGAGUAACACGUGGGUAACCUGCCCAUCAGAAGGGGAUAACACUUGGAAACAGGUGCUAAUACCGUAUAACACUAUUUUCCGCAUGGAAGAAAGUUGAAAGGCGCUUUUGCGUCACUGAUGGAUGGACCCGCGGUGCAUUAGCUAGUUGGUGAGGUAACGGCUCACCAAGGCAACGAUGCAUAGCCGACCUGAGAGGGUGAUCGGCCACACUGGGACUGAGACACGGCCCAGACUCCUACGGGAGGCAGCAGUAGGGAAUCUUCGGCAAUGGACGAAAGUCUGACCGAGCAACGCCGCGUGAGUGAAGAAGGUUUUCGGAUCGUAAAACUCUGUUGUUAGAGAAGAACAAGGAUGAGAGUAAAAUGUUCAUCCCUUGACGGUAUCUAACCAGAAAGCCACGGCUAACUACGUGCCAGCAGCCGCGGUAAUACGUAGGUGGCAAGCGUUGUCCGGAUUUAUUGGGCGUAAAGCGAGCGCAGGCGGUUUCUUAAGUCUGAUGUGAAAGCCCCCGGCUCAACCGGGGAGGGUCAUUGGAAACUGGGAGA